rnacentral:rRNA from 2 species
UGGGGAAUUUUGGACAAUGGGGGAAACCCUGAUCCAGCCAUUCCGCGUGUGCGAUGAAGGCCUUCGGGUUGUAAAGCACUUUUGGCAGGAAAGAAAUCGUACGGGCUAAUACCCUAUGCGGAUGACGGUACCUGCAGAAUAAGCACCGGCUAACUACGUGCCAGCAGCCGCGGUAAUACGUAGGGUGCAAGCGUUAAUCGGAAUUACUGGGCGUAAAGCGUGCGCAGGCGGUUCGGAAAGAAAGAUGUGAAAUCCAGGGCUCAACCUUGGAACUGCAUUUUUAACUCCCGAACUAGAGUGUGUCAGAGGGGGGUGGAAUUCCACGUGUAGCAGUGAAAUGCGUAGAUAUGUGGAGGAACACCGAUGGCGAAGGCAGCCCCCUGGGAUAACACUGACGCUCAGGCACGAAAGCGUGGGGAGCAAACAGG